UGGAGAGCCGGGAAAGGCGGCCGUGCCGGAGAGCUCUCCUCUGGGGCUGGCCGACACGGGGAGCAACAGCCCCCGCACCGCUCUUCCUGGCGCUGCUCCCCGGCCCUGCUAGCCAUGUCCCAGAGCAGACACCGCGCCGAGGCGCCGCCGCUGGUGCGCGAGGACAACGAGACCUUCAGUUUGGGGAAGAUGAUAACAGCUAAGCCAGGAAAAACACCGAUUCAGGUAUUACACGAAUACGGCAUGAAGACCAAGAACAUCCCGGUUUAUGAAUGUGAAAGAUCUGAUGUGCAAAUACAUGUGCCCACUUUCACCUUCAGAGUAACCGUUGGUGACAUAACCUGCACAGGUGAAGGUACAAGUAAGAAGCUGGCCAAACACAGAGCUGCAGAGGCUGCCAUAAACAUUUUGAAAGCCAAUGCAAGUAUUUGCUUUGCAGUUCCUGACCCUUUAAUGCCUGAUCCUUCUAAACAACCAAAGAACCAGCUUAAUCCUAUUGGUUCAUUACAGGAACUUGCUAUUCAUCAUGGAUGGAGACUUCCAGAGUAUACCCUUUCCCAGGAGGGAGGACCAGCUCAUAAGAGAGAAUACACAACCAUCUGCAGGCUAGAGUCAUUUAUGGAAACUGGAAAGGGGGCAUCAAAAAAACAAGCCAAGAGAAAUGCUGCUGAGAAAUUUCUUGCCAAAUUUAGUAAUAUUUCUCCAGAGAACCAUAUUUCUCUAAAAACAAAGAUAUAAUACAUGACAUACACUGUUUAAAAAAAAACUGGACCAAGAGAAAACACCAAGAUCACAAAGCACAAAUAGGUAGGUGUACAGGUGGUCUCUGUCAAAUCUUAGGACAAGAUCAUCUCCCUUGUUGUUUAAACUCAUCCAGGCUAUAUUGAUUUAUUUUUUAAGGGAAGCUUCUAAAUUUAUUCUUCUAAACCAGUGUAACACUCUGGAACCUGACCAUACCAAACCCCAAUAGAAAAAAAAAAAAAAAAUGAGUCAAUCUUGCUUAAAGUGGAACACUAAUUUAGUGACAUUAAAAAAUAAUAUACUAUACAUAAGGAUUUGUUUCAUGCAUACAAAGAUACUUUAGUUUGUUACUGUCACCAUUUUAGUGAGUCAAAGAAGAAACAGGUAAUCCUCUCAGCGAAUGCCAGAAGCUACUUGCUAAAACUUAGCAAUUAUUACUGAUAAAGAAUUUUUUCAAAGAAAUCAAAAUCAUGGUUACGUGUUUAAACAUUACACUUAUUUUUAUUGGGACCAGAAAAAAGACUAAAGAUGCCUACUAAUACUAUUUGUAUUUGACCUUGUUCUAGAAUUACCAACCCAUAUGAUUAGACAAGAGAAGGUGAUAAGAAUUGGAAAUAACAAAAGAAAAUGAUUUUUAACUGAAAUAAUACAAUUGUGUCCUUCCAAAACCCUAGAGAAAAUGUUCUAGAAACAGAAUUCAUCAAGACGAAUGUAGUAGGGCAUUCCUUAGGAUGCACUUGGCAUUCCUUGAGGAAUUCUCCUGGUGAAAAGAUCAACUUACUGAAAAGAAGCCUCCUUAGUAUUCCAAAUACAGACUACAUCCAGCUGCUUAGUGAAAUUGCCAAGGAACAAGGCUUUAACAUAACAUACUUGGAUAUAG